rnacentral:rRNA from 1 species
CGUGGGUAACCUGCCCAAGAGAUCGGGAUAACACCUGGAAACAGAUGCUAAUACCGGAUAACAACAGAUGAUGCCUAUCAACUGUUUAAAAGAUGGUUCUGCUAUCACUCUUGGAUGGACCUGCGGUGCAUUAGCUAGUUGGUAGGGUAACGGCCUACCAAGGCGAUGAUGCAUAGCCGAGUUGAGAGACUGAUCGGCCACAUUGGGACUGAGACACGGCCCAAACUCCUACGGGAGGCAGCAGGAC